GCCCUGAGUGUGUCACGUGCCCAUCCCUGGACCAAUCACAGUUGCCCGGAAAGGAAAGCCGCGAUGAUCCUACGUCACCUAACCCCAAAGUCUCGUUAAGAUCAACACCUCCACAUCUCCCAACACCUUUAAUGAGGGUCCACUGUCUUUAUUUCCAUUUCCCGGGUGAGAAACCGGAGACACAGAGGGCUUACACAGAGGGCUUACGUCACUUGCCCAAAGUCACAGCUACUGGUGGUGACACGGAGAUUUGAAACCGGGCGUCUGCACCAAACUCAGAAACGCUCAGAAACAAAGAUAGUGAAGAAUCACCCAGAACCAGAGAACCCGGACAGAGCUGCUGGAAGAGGGUGCUGAAGAUCAAAUCCUCUUAACCUAGAUGGGGAAACCGAGUCCUCCAUACUUUGGUGUUAGUGAGAACUCCUUCCUCCUCAGUAGCGAGGGACAGAAAAUGCCAACGCAUCUUGAUCCAGCAAGAAGAGAGUUUGUUAGCCCCCAAAACAACCGUCGAAGUGCGGUGCUGGCUUCGGGCAUGACUAGAUUCUGGACUCAGUACAACAAGGCUCAGUUUCUCGGUACCAUGGCUCUAUCAUUGCCCGCGUCCACCUCCUUCCCGAGCUCUGGGUGGCAAGGGGGUCUGUGGUACCUCCAGCCUCUUCCUCCAGGCUCAACUCAGAAGAAAAGAGCCAGGAGCUUCUCGGUUAAGUCCUGAGAGGCGUUUUGAUUGGUCACGUGCUCACCCUUGAUGAACUGCUGUUCCCAGGGAGCACCACACAGUGAUUGGCUUCGCUCUAGAAAGGCUGUGUGCUGAUUGGCUUAUCCCUGGGAAAUGCUACAUGAUUGGCUUAGCUCUGGGUCUUGGGUCUUUUCUCUGACUCCCAAAUCAGAUAGACCAAAGGCUCCAGCGAAGGACUUUCCAAUGAAAAUGGAAGGGCGGGGCUCAGAGUGGGGAGGUAGAAGAAAGUUCUGUUUCCAAAAUAAAGAGAUGCAGGAGUUUAAAAACAA